AGCGAACGCUGGCGGCAUGCCUAACACAUGCAAGUCGCACGGGGGGGCUUCGGCCUCCCAGUGGCGGACGGGUGAGGAACGCGUAGGGACCUGUCGAGGGGUGGGGGAUAACCGCGGGAAACUGCGGCUAAUACCGCAUGACGCCGCGGCGUGACAGCCGGGGCCAAAGGCGAAAGCCGCCCGCCGAGGGGCCUGCGUCCGAUUAGCUGGUUGGCGGGGUAGCGGCCCACCAAGGCGUCGAUCGGUAGCUGGUCUGGGAGGGUGAUCAGCCACACCGGGAGUGGGACACGGCCCGGACUCCUAUGGGAGGCAGCAGUGGGGAAUAUUGGACGAUGGGCGCGAGCCUGAGCCAGCAAUGCCGCGUGGGUGAAGAAGGUCUGCGGAUUGUAAAGCCCUUUCGGCGGGGACGAUGGUGACGGUACCCGCAGAAGAAGCCCCGGCUAACUUCGUG
rnacentral:rRNA from 1 species